rnacentral:rRNA from 1 species
UACGUAGGGUGCAAGCGUUGUCCGGAAUUAUUGGGCGUAAAGAGCUCGUAGGCGGUCUGUCGCGUCGGCUGUGAAAACCCGGGGCUCAACCCCGGGCCUGCAGUCGAUACGGGCAGACUAGAGUGCGGUAGGGGAGACUGGAAUUCCUGGUGUAGCGGUGAAAUGCGCAGAUAUCAGGAGGAACACCGGUGGCGAAGGCGGGUCUCUGGGCCGACACUGACACUGAGAGACAAAAGCUAGGGGAGCGAAUGGG